AUUGAACGCUGGCGGCAGGCCUAACACAUGCAAGUCGAACGAGUGGCGGACGGGUGAGUAAAGUCUGGGAAACUGCCUGAUGGCGGGGGAUAACAACUGGAAACGGUAGCUAAUACCGCAUACCAUUGGAUGUGCCCAAAUGGGAUUAGCUAGUAGGUGGGGGAAAGGCUCAACAAGGCGACGGUCCCUAGCUGGGCUGAUAGGAGGCCCAGCCACACUGGAACUGAGACACGGUCCAGACUCCUACGGGAGGCAGCAGUGGGGAAUUUUGCACAAUGGGCGAAACCCUGAUGCAGCCAUGCCGCGUGUAUGAAGAAGGCCUUCGGGUUGUAAAGUACUUUCAGCGGGGAGGCGUUACCUGCAGAAGAAGCACCGGCUAACUCCGUGCCAGCAGCCGCGGUAAUAC
rnacentral:rRNA from 1 species